UGGCGCAGCCGCCUCCUGGAGUCCCUAGUGCGCCAGGAGCCUCGCUCCGUUCUGAUUCGUAUGGGCUCCGCAGAGUUCCGCUUGCGUCAGGGGCCUUCGCCCCUAUAGCGGGGCAGCCAGCAGCGCACGGGCGAGUUCAUCUCUAAGUCUCCUUUUUUUUUUAAACGGCCGGCAGAACUUGGACCGGCCUUCCCGAGCCUCCGGAGCCUCCCGGGCCCAGCCAACAGCCUGCCUCACGCUCUUACGAGUCUUGAAAAUCUGCGGGUGUUUGCUUCGCCGAAAAGCCCUGGUUGGGGCUCGCUGCGCCCUGCCAGUGCCCCGGGAAUGCUGACCCCAGCGAGGAGAGGUGAUCCAAGCCUCUGGGCAGCUUUCAGGUGAAAGAAAACAAAACCCUUUGCUCUGUGCUUCGGGCUGUGCUGGGGCUAGACUUCUAGCUUUGAGGCUUAGGGAGGGGCGAGAUGGCAAGGGGGCCGGACCGGGGUGGAGUGGCCGAACUUUGCGGCAGCUGGAGGUAAACCAGCUCAGAGCUCGUGUCACGGAAGGCAGAAGCUUCGGCCUGCUCUGUCCCUCGAGCUCUCUGAGCCCAAUUGAGGCUGGGGAGAGGAUCGCUGGGAAGAGACACCCAGGAGUACCGCUCACUGGCAUCGGACGUUUCGCUUCUCUGUGCUGAGGUGGAUGUAGGGACCAGCUUUCUCCUUGGAACUCGCCUUGCAAUCCCACAAUUUGGGUGUGUGUUUUAAAGAUCAAGUGGUAUCCCUUGUACUCUGGCUUGGACACAGACGAGGAUGUUGCUGAGGGGCUUUGGGGACUGUUGCGUGCACAAGUGUCACGCGUGGAAGGCACGGGGCAAAAAUCUGUUCUUAAAGACACACGUGAUACUGCGCAAGUGUGCUGUUCAGAAACCCAGCCGUUACCUGCAUCUUCUCCUUCCAGCAUAGAUAAUAGCCGAAGUCUGGUGGGGAUCCAGUUACAUCUCCGAAAAUAGAAAACGGACUUAGAGGAAUUCCUUCCGUGCCAGCACAACAUCAGGUUGCUUGGACUUUAAGAGUUCUCCAGAAUGCCACGAGCCCACACUGGCCAGUGGCUCCAGCGGUCCGAAGACCAUUUAUCUACAGUGUGUGCUUGUGCUUCCCACUUUGAGAUGAAGGGAAAGGAGGACUCUGUGUGUGUGUGUGUGUGUGUGUGUGUGUGUGUGUGUGUGUGUGUGUAGUCCAACAUCUCAAAGAUGACUACAGAGAGGUCAGCCAGGCAAACCCGGCCUAACCACCAGGAUACAAGGGAGCUGACCCUGGGUCUCAUCCCCCACCCCCUCCACGGCUCCAUUUCCGGCCGCUCAGCUCCUCCUCAGCAGCCAGGAUCAGCACCCUAAUCCCAGGUGGAGAAAGAGUGCCUCUUGUGCGCACAAGGCUGGGAAACACAACUGCAGGGCGCCCCGAGGGAUCACCUUCCAGACCCUGGGUGAGCAGCCAGAGCUAAGAAGACUGGGACGAAUGUGCUUGCCUGUUCGGUGGUACAGCAGUAGGUGGAUAGAGCAGGCACUCUAGGAAGUGGCCGGGUGGACUUUGAUUCACUUCUCACUCCUACCCAGUCCCCUUAGGCAGGCUGGGUAGGGACCCAGGUCUCGACUAUAGUAGGAUUCUGUUCCUCUAGGCCUGUGCGGCCCCGUUGUGCGGCCCCCACAACUUUCACCCGUUUCAUUCUGGCAAGGUUAAGCACCAUCCACUUAGUGGCAGAGGCCUCGGUCCUGAGCCAGGCGGAGGAACUCCGUGUUUCUCUGGCCGGGGUUUUCAGGAUUCCUCAGCGCCUCCAGCUCCUUGUGCCUCUAGAGAAAUGCCUGCCCAUGCCUUGCCGGGGAGCCAGGGACAGAGCAGAAGCCUCUCAGCAAGCUGGUCUAACGCUCCGAAGUCUCGACCGCCGCCUACGUGAGCAAGUCGCGGAUCCCCGGUGAAGAUGCUUUUCUCCCGGGCCGAGCUUCCUGCAGCUGCCGCAGAAACACCGCGGACCGCCACGCGAGGCAGGUACCUUUUGGCUCUGGUGUUUUGCUUGGAGGAAUGAAAGACCAGUGAUCUGUCUGAACAGAAAGAAUGCCAUUGUAUGGACAUGGAAACUCAAGUCCAGAGACAUACAUGGUCAUGCAUGAGGACAAGGUCCCACUGAAUAGUCCUUGCUGGCCUGGAACUCUCUUGUAGACCAGGUUGGCCUUGGCUGAGAUCUGCCUGUUGAGCACCGGUAUUAAAGGCUGACAGAACCCUGUAUUUUAUGCCUAAUCCAAGUGUGAACGCCGGUUUUCUCCUGCACACUGCCACUUUCCUAGUUACAGAAUAGCAACUAGUGCUCCAAGCUUGGCACCAUAUAACUCCCCCGGGGGUGGCAGUCCCUCCCACCCCUGGGGUCCCUCUCUUAGCUCAGGCUACCCUGGAGCUUGAGAUACUCCUCCUUCAGACUCUCAGAUUUCAGAUAUGCGUCGUGAUGCCCCAUCUCAAUGCAUGUUCUUUAUAGAGCUGAGAGGGGCUGUGUUCGUGCAUCUUCACGGUCAACUUGAUUGAAUUUGGAAUCACGUAGGAAACACACUGUGAGCAUGUUUGUGCAUGAGGGCAUCCCACGGACUGGGGGGCCCUGGACUGGAUACAAAGAAGGGAGGAAGGCAUCAGAUGGAAGAUGGGAGUAAGUCAGCCGAGCACCAGCGUUUAUCUCACUGCUUCCUGACUGUGGACACAAUGUGACCAUCUGCUCAUGCUUCUAAUGGCCAUGCUCUUCCUACCAUGGUGGACUCUAUACCCUGAAUCUGCAAGCCCAAAUAUAUAUGUGUAUACACACACACAUACACACACAUAAAUAUAUAUAUAUGUAUAUAUAUACACAUACACAUAUACAUACAUAUACACACAUACACACACACACACAUAUAUAUACAUAUGAAGAUAUGUGUAUAUAUAUAUAUAUAUAUAUAUAUAUAUAUAUAUAUUUAGUUUUUAUUUUUUUAUUUAUGCGUGUGCGUACCCACACAGUGGUGUGUGUAUUUGUCUCUCUGUGUGUAUGUGUGUGUGUGUGGUGUGUGCCACUGUGUGUGAGGAUACCUUAGGAUUCCAGUUAGAGUUCCAGGCAGUUGUGAACUUCCCAGUGUGGGUGCUGGGAACCGAACUUGGGUCCCCUGGAAGAACAAUAAAUUCUCUUACUCUCUGAGCCGUCUCUCCAGGCUUUCUUGUCAGAUACGUUGUUAGCCCAGUAACAGGAAAGUUAACUAACACAGCAGUGUCUAGGUUGUUUCUAAACCUUUGUUUUUAAAAGCAAUACUUCAGUAUACAGUCUUGUAUACUUAAUUUUGUAGACACAUCCAUAUAUUUAAAAGCAACAUGUUCUAGUAGCUGUGUCAUGUGGUGUGUGCAUUUUUAAGUUUGGUAAGUUAUGCAAAGCUGUCUUCCUGGGAAGCACCAGUAGAGGCUCCCAUCAACAGGGAAUUAGAUUCCAGUUGUUUUCUAGAUUUCAGUACACACUUUAAGGUGCAGGAGAGGGAUUCCCCAUGUAGCACAGACUGACCUCAAACUCUUCUGUGCCUUCUGCCUCUGCCUCACGAGCACUGGGAUUGCGGUGUAAGCAGCCUGACCCACUACCUCUUUGCUUUUCAAGGUAGAGAUUUUACAGCUGAGGCCCCAUCUGCAUCUUCCUUUGGUUCCUGUCUGUUUCUCUCCUGGAGUGAUCAUCAUGGCAGAUUUGGUGUUUAACAUUCCUGUACCUGUUAUGACAUGUGUGUAACAUGUGUAUGUACUCCUGGGCAAUAAAUCAAGGUCUGGAUUUCGUAGCUUUCGGAAUGAACUAAACUGCUUCACAAUGAGAAACUUAGAAGAAAGGAAACAAAUAACCACGAUUUGGGGUUGUGAAGGGCAGGCAGGCGAGUGGAAAUUUUUCUUAUGUUUAUGACAAUGACAAUGGGAUUCCAAAUGCCCACUCGGGAGACUGCUGACCUCACGGGUUCUGAAAGGUCGGCCAGAAUGUUCCACCUGAGAAGAAAGGGGAAGAGAGAGGAUGACCAUCAAACACUCCAACUUCCAUCUCACGACUGGUCUCCUCUCUGACGUGUGCUGCAUGGCCAUUUUGCCCAUGGGAGGAAAAGGGAGUUCUGCCCAGCAGAACCCCAGGUAACAGGGCCCCACCAUCUGUAGCUCUCCAAGCCUAUGAUCUAGUGUCUCAGGUGGGAAGAUGCAGAAAGGGGGACUCGAGACUGUGCAAUCUGAGAUGGCCUCACCGGUGAGAGCUGGGGCCUCAGAGGAAGAGUAAAGAAGGCUUUUAGGCGUCUCCCAUUUUCCUGCAGGUGCUAGUGUUCAACUGCAGGGAGACUGUCAGCCACACACCAACAGGGACCAAAGUAGGUACCACGUGCUCUGGGAGGUGUAAGCAAAGGUCUUAUUGCGCCUAUGAUACCCUCAUGUUCAGUAUGGUCUAACAAGGUGUCCAGGUGUCAGGGGCAUAAGUGGAUAUGGCCUCUUGGCUAUCUCAGAAUAUCCAUCUUCUGGGUAUUCUGCAUGCUUACCCCUCCACUGUCUUCUUGAAAUAGGGGUGCAUUCCUUUGACUACCCUCCAUGAACAUAACAAAGUUGAAUUGCUCUUAGAGUCUUCCUAUAAGCCCAUUAAUCAUUGUGUGUGUGUGUGUGUGUGUGUGUGUGUGUGUGUGUGUGUGUGUGUGUGUGUGUGUUGUGUGGCAUACAGCAUGUGUGGAGGUCAGAUGACAACCUUGUAGAAUUGGUUUUCUUCUUUCACCCUUAGUGGGUUCUAGGAAUCAAACAGGUUGCCAGGUUUGCCUGGCAAGCCCCUUUUAUCUGCUGUGCCAUCCGGCUGGCCCACAGCCACUCAGUCUUGCAGAACCUCUUGGAGGCCUCGCUGGCCCAUUCUUGAAUGUGAGCAGCUGGGCCCUCUUUGGGCUCCUGAGCACCUUGCCUGUGCUUACUCCUAUGGGAGAAG
rnacentral:lncRNA from 1 species